GCAAGUCGAACGGCAGCGCGGGGCAACCUGGCGGCGAGUGGCGAACGGGUGAGUAAUAUAUCGGAACGUACCCAGGAGUGGGGAAUAACGUGGCGAAAGGUACGCUAAUGCCGCAUACGAUCUACGGAUGAAAGCAGGGGAUCGCAGGACCUUGCGCUCGUGGAGCGGCCGAUAUCUGAUUAGCUAGUUGGUAGGGUAAAGGCCUACCAAGGCAACGAUCAGUAGCUGGUCUGAGAGGACGACC
rnacentral:rRNA from 1 species